ensembl:lncRNA
UGUGAGUUGUGUGUAUUAAUAUUAUAAAGGUAUUCGCAGUUGCGUUGUGUGUUAAUAUCAUAAAGGUAUUCGCAGUUGCGUUGUGUGUUAAUAUCGUAAAGGUAUUCGCAGCGGUGGCUGUUCUCAGCCAGUGAAUAUUCAUGGCCAGUCUUUGCUGGGCUGCGGCAUCAAUUAUAUAUGGGAGCCAUUUUUAUAUUUUAUUUUAUUUAAUUUUUUUCCCCCAAGGCUGUUCUACAUAGCCAGCCACAAAGCUCACCCAGUCUGCUUUCUCGCUUGUCCCGCCAUGGGGGGUCCCUUCACACACACACACAGACACACACACACACUCACACAGACACACACACUCAUGCAGUUUGAGGAGUCUCCCGCGAGGCCUGGGGGUGGCAGGGGAGGGG